AUCCUUUUGUGGUUCAAAAGCAUGAUGAUUGGGUGUUCAGAGGCAUGUGUGAGACGUGCCACCCUCUGAACCUCUUUAUGACCCGGUACGUUACCUCUCUGACC
rnacentral:snoRNA from 1 species